UACGGAGGAUGCAAGCGUUAUCCGGAAUGAUUGGGCGUAAAGCGUCCGCAGGUGGCUGUGUAAGUCUGCUGUUAAAGAGUCUAGCCUCAACUAGAUACAAGCAGUAGGAAACUACACGGCUAGAGUACGUUCGGGGCAGAGGGAAUUCCUGGUGUAGCGGUGAAAUGCGUAGAGAUCAGGAAGAACACCGGUGGCGAAGGCGCUCUGCUAGGCCGUAACUGACACUGAGGGACGAAAGCUAGGGGAGCGAAUGGG
rnacentral:rRNA from 1 species